rnacentral:rRNA from 1 species
AGUGAACGCUGGCGGUAGGCCUAACACAUGCAAGUCGAACGGCAGCACAGUGAGAGCUUGCUCUUACGGGUGGCGAGUGGCGGACGGGUGAGGAAUACAUCGGAAUCUACUUUUUCGUGGGGGAUAACGUAGGGAAACUUACGCUAAUACCGCAUACGACCUACGGGUGAAAGCAGGGGAUCUUCGGACCUUGCGCGAUUGAAUGAGCCGAUGUCGGAUUAGCUAGUUGGCGGGGUAAAGGCCCACCAAGGCGACGAUCCGUAGCUGGUCUGAGAGGAUGAUCAGCCACACUGGAACUGAGACACGGUCCAGACUCCUACGGGAGGCAGCAGUGGGGAAUAUUGGACAAUGGGCGGAAGCCUGAUCCAGCCAUACCGCGUGGGUGAAGAAGGCCUUCGGGUUGUAAAGCCCUUUUGUUGGGAAAGAAAAGCAGCAGGUUAAUACCCCGCUGUUCUGACGGUACCCAAAGAAUAAGCACCGGCUAACUUCGUG